rfam:Acyrthosiphon pisum strain LSR1 Contig39040, whole genome shotgun sequence.
GUCCCUGUGGCGCAGUGGAAAGCGUACUGGACUUCGGAUCCAGGGGUCGUGGGUUCGACCCCCACCAGGGACA